GACGAACGCUGGCGGCGUGCUUAACACAUGCAAGUCGAACGGAAAGGCCCUGCUUUUGUGGGGUGCUCGAGUGGCGAACGGGUGAGUAACACGUGAGUAACCUGCCCUUGACUUUGGGAUAACUUCAGGAAACUGGGGCUAAUACCGGAUAGGAGCUCCUGCUGCAUGGUGGGGGUUGGAAAGUUUCGGCGGUUGGGGAUGGACUCGCGGCUUAUCAGCUUGUUGGUGGGGUAGUGGCUUACCAAGGCUUUGACGGGUAGCCGGCCUGAGAGGGUGACCGGCCACAUUGGGACUGAGAUACGGCCCAGAAUCCUACGGGAGGCAGCAGUGGGGAAUAUUGCACAAUGGGCGGACGCCUGAUGCAGAAACGCCGCGUGCGGGAUGACGGCCUUCGGGUUGUAAACAGCUUUCGCAUGUGACGAAGAGUGAGUGACGGUAAUGGGUAAAGAAGCACCGGCUAACUACGUG
rnacentral:rRNA from 1 species